UGGGGAAUAUUGGGCAAUGGAGGAAACUCUUACCCAGCAAUGCCGCGUGAGUGAAGAAGGUCUUCGGAUUGUAAAGCUCUUUGAUUGGGGAUGAAUAAAUGACGGUACCCAAAGAACAAGCCCCGGCUAACUACGUGCCAGCAGCCGCGGUAAUACGUAGGGGGCGAGCGUUGUCCGGAAUGACUGGGCGUAAAGGGUGUGUAGGCGGUUUAUUAAGUUAGAAGUGAAAUACCUAGGGCUUAACCCAGGUGCUGCUUCUAAAACUGAUAGACUUGAGUGCAGUAGAGGAAAGUGGAAUUCCUA
rnacentral:rRNA from 1 species